rnacentral:lncRNA from 1 species
CAACUUGAGGUGUUAGCCCUGGCCUUCAAAGGUGCCUAGGCGCGAGCUUUAGCCUUCCAAGGUGUUGAUUCCCCAAUCAUUUGAGCUAUGUGCAGAAUCACAACUUAAUAAAAAUUUCUAGGACACGAAACUCGCUAGCCGAUUUCACCAUAGGUGUGCUGCCGUAGUUGAAUUUUGUGGCCAGUGAUGCUUUGCACUUUAUGUAACCGAUUCCAUAGGUUGCGUGACUAGUAUUGCAACACUUUAGGAGUCAAGUUAUGAUUAUGAAGAUUUCACACCAAUCGCACAAUAAGCGAGUUUUCGUGCGAAUCUUUCAUGUGCAAGGAUCCUGCACUUAGCAUGUUGUCAUGUGACUAGUAUUGCAACACUUUAGGAGUCGAGUUAUGAUUAUGAAGAUUACACACCGAUCACACAAUAAGCGUGUUGUCGUGCAAAUCUUUCAAGCGCAUGGAUCCUGCACUUAGCAUGCUCUCAUGUGAUAGUAUUGCAACACUUUAGGAGUCGAGUUAUGUUCAUAAAAAUGCACAAUUAGUAUCAAUCUUCUUCCUCAACAAAAAAAUUCCAAUUUUUCUUGCAAAAACACAUACCGAUCUCGUUUGCAUAUUAAACCUCUAGGAAAAAGCUUGGAAGAAAGCAGUAGAUCUAAUGAAAAAAAAAAAAAAAAACUUAUAAGAAUUACAGAAAAGGAAAAGAAAUCUCAAUAGCAUAAUUAACAACUACACCCUCAAAGCUAUUAUUUUACUAUAUAUUUUCUUUUUCUUCACUUUCCCAUCAAUCAAACAAACCCUGAAUUGGUUAAACAUAAAACAAAAAUGAAAAUUUCAAGUGAGAGCAAAAUACUAAUCAUCCCAAAACAAGGUUGAAACACUUAAAAAUCAUAAUUGAUUAAAAGAAUGAGAUUGCUAGAAACCAAACCCUUAAAAUCACACACCUCUGUUUUUGUCGAUCCCAAGC